rnacentral:misc_RNA from 1 species
GGGACCGCCGGCAACAGUUGCAUAACUGUAGAACAAAAAGAAUUCACCCCUGCUACUAGAAUUAUCAGUAAGAUGCCCAAAGGUAUCGAGAUCAGUGCCCCAGAAUACAUAUGGGAAAAGCAUUGCAACUUUAUUUAAUAAUCCAAAUCCCAAUCUUUUUAUUCCGUCGAGCUUCCGCUGAGGCAAUUCUGGCAUGAACUUAAUAGAACCACCUUUCAGAACUCCAAGAGGAACAGUGCACAGCACCAUAUCUCCCUCAAAUACUUGGGCCCCAGCGCCAACCUGUACUCCAUCGGUACCAUAACGAAUGGUAUGCACAAUUUUUUCAUAAAGAAUAGGUACAUUUUCCGACAAUGCAUGAACUAGUUUUCCGUUUCCUCCGGGCAGGAAGCAAUGAUCCCCUCCCAUGUCAAAAGGGUCAUCUUGGUCCCAAAAUGCUAAUGAAAGUUUAGAAAUCAGACCUGCAUUUGCAUAUUCUAGAUUUGCUAGAUGCCAG